CCUACGGGAGGCAGCAGUGAGGAAUAUUGGUCAAUGGCCGAAAGUCUGAACCAGCAAAGCCGCGUGAAUGACGAAGGUGCCAAGCAUUGUAAGCUUCUUUUGUCAAGGGACAAAAUCAGGCUCGAGAGCCUGACCAAGGGUACUUGAAGAAAAAGCAUCGACUAACUCCGUGCCAUAAGCCGCGGUAAUACGGAGGAGGCGAGCGUUAUCCGGAUUUAUUGGGUUUAAAGGGAGCGUAGAUGGGUUGUUAAGUCAGUUGUGAAAGUUUGCGGCUCAACCGUAAAAUUGCAAUUGAUACUGGCAGCCUUGAGUACAGUUGAGGUAGGCGGAAUUCGUGGUGUAGCGGUGAAAUGCUUAGAUAUCACGAAGAACUCCGAUUGUGAAGGCAGCUUACUAAACUGCCACUGACACUGAUGCUCGAAAGUGUGGGUAGCAAACAGGAUUAGAUACCCGAGUAGUC
rnacentral:rRNA from 1 species